rnacentral:rRNA from 1 species
GCAGGGGCGGGGUGCUAUACAUGCAGUCGAGCGGACAGAUGGGAGCUUGCUCCCUGAUGUUAGCGGCGGACGGGUGAGUAACACGUGGGUAACCUGCCUGUAAGACUGGGAUAACUCCGGGAAACCGGGGCUAAUACCGGAUGCUUGAUUGAACCGCAUGGUUCAAUUAUAAAAGGUGGCUUUUAGCUACCACUUACAGAUGGACCCGCGGCGCAUUAGCUAGUUGGUGAGGUAACGGCUCACCAAGGCAACGAUGCGUAGCCGACCUGAGAGGGUGAUCGGCCACACUGGGACUGAGACACGGCCCAGACUCCUACGGGAGGCAGCAGUAGGGAAUCUUCCGCAAUGGACGAAAGUCUGACGGAGCAACGCCGCGUGAGUGAUGAAGGUUUUCGGAUCGUAAAACUCUGUUGUUAGGGAAGAACAAGUACCGUUCGAAUAGGGCGGUACCUUGACGGUACCUAACCAGAAAGCCACGGCUAACUACGUGCCAGCAGCCGCGGUAAUACGUAGGUGGCAAGCGUUGUCCGGAAUUAUUGGGCGUAAAGCGCGCGCAGGCGGUUUCUUAAGUCUGAUGUGAAAGCCCCCGGCUCAACCGGGGAGGGUCAUUGGAAACUGGGGAACUUGAGUGCAGAAGAGGAGAGUGGAAUUCCACGUGUAGCGGUGAAAUGCGUAGAGAUGUGGAGGAACACCAGUGGCGAAGGCGACUCUCUGGUCUGUAACUGACGCUGAGGCGCGAAAGCGUGGGGAGCGAACAGGAUUAGAUACCCUGGUAGUCCACGCCGUAAACGAUGAGUGCUAAGUGUUAGAGGGUUUCCGCCCUUUAGUGCUGCAGCAAACGCAUUAAGCACUCCGCCUGGGGAGUACGGUCGCAAGACUGAAACUCAAAGGAAUUGACGGGGGCCCGCACAAGCGGUGGAGCAUGUGGUUUAAUUCGAAGCAACGCGAAGAACCUUACCAGGUCUUGACAUCCUCUGACAACCCUAGAGAUAGGGCUUCCCCUUCGGGGGCAGAGUGACAGGUGGUGCAUGGUUGUCGUCAGCUCGUGUCGUGAGAUGUUGGGUUAAGUCCCGCAACGAGCCGCAACCCUUGAUCUUAGUUGCCAGCAUUCAGUUGGGCACUCUAAGGUGACUGCCGGUGACA